rnacentral:rRNA from 1 species
UUUGACAUGUACGGAAUUCGCCAGAGAUGGCUUAGUGCUCGAAAGAGAACCGUAACACAGGUGCUGCAUGGCUGUCGUCAGCUCGUGUCGUGAGAUGUAGGGUUAAGUCCCGCAACGAGCGCAACCCUUGUCAUUAGUUGCUACAUUCAGUUGGGCACUCUAAUGAGACUGCCGGUGACAAGCCGGAGGAAGGUGGGGAUGACGUCAAGUCCUCAUGGCCCUUAUAGGUGG